UACAGGGGGUGCAACCGUUGCUCGGAAUUAUUGGGCGUAAAGCGCGCGUAGGCGGCUAUCUAAGUCGGAUGUGAAAGCCCCUGGCUUAACUGGGGAAGUGCACCCGAAACUGGGUAGCUAGAGUGCAAAAGAGGGUCGCGGAAUUCCCGGUGUAGAGGUGAAAUUCGUAGAUAUCGGGAGGAACACCGGUGGCGAAGGCGGCGAACUGGGUUGACACUGACGCUGAGGCGCGAAAGCGUGGGGAGCGAACAGG
rnacentral:rRNA from 1 species